rnacentral:rRNA from 1 species
AUUGAACGCUGGCGGUAUGCUUAACACAUGCAAGUCGAACGGUAGCAGGCCUUCGGGCGCUGACGAGUGGCGGACGGGUGAGUAACGCGUAGGAAUCUGCCUCAUAGUGGGGGACAACGUGUGGAAACGCACGCUAAUACCGCAUACGCUCUUUGUUCUAAGGGAUGGGGAGGAAAGCGGGGGACCGUAAGGCCUCGCGCUAUGAGAUGAGCCUGCGUUAGAUUAGCUAGUUGGUGGGGUAAAGGCCUACCAAGGCGACGAUCUAUAGCUGGUCUGAGAGGACGAUCAGCCACACUGGGACUGAGACACGGCCCAGACUCCUACGGGAGGCAG